GGGGUUGUAGUUAAAUUAACAUUUAUUUUGCAAUUAAAAAAUGCUGUAAUAUAUCAUCAGCCUUCCUCA
rnacentral:tRNA from 1 species